rnacentral:rRNA from 1 species
GGAAUUCCUAGUGUAGCGGUGAAAUGCGUAGAUAUUAGGAGGAACACCAGUGGCGAAGGCGGCUUACUGGACUGUAACUGACGUUGAGGCGCGAAAGUGUGGGGAGCAAACAGGAUUAGAUACCCUGGUAGUCCACACCGUAAACGAUGGAUACUAGGUGUAGGCGAGAUAUCGUCUGUGCCGGCGCAAACGCAAUAAGUAUCCCACCUGGGGAGUACGGCCGCAAGGUUGAAACUCAAAGGAAUUGACGGGGGCCCGCACAAGCAGUGGAGUAUGUGGUUUAAUUCGACGCAACGCGAAGAACCUUACCAAGACUUGACAUAUACAUGAAAGCCUAAGAGAUUAGGCCCCUCUUCGGAGCGUGUAUACAGGUGAUGCAUGGUUGUCGUCAGCUCGUGUCGUGAGAUGUUAGGUUAAGUCCUGCAACGAGCGCAACCCUCGUGAUUAGUUGCCAGAUAAUGGAACUCUAAUCAGACUGCCGUAGUUAAUACGGAGGAAGGUGAGGAUGAUGUCAAAUCAUCACGUCCCUUAUGUCUUGGGCUACACACGUACUACAAUGGGUGUUACAGAAAGAAGCGAAACCGCGAGGUGGAGCAAAACUCAGAAAAGCACCCCUAGUUCGGAUUGGAGGCUGCAACCCGCCUCCAUGAAGCUGGAAUUGCUAGUAAUCACAGGUCAGCAUACUGUGGUGAAUACGUUCCCGGGCCUUGUACACACCGCCCGUCACACCAUGAGAGUUGAGAAUACCCGAAGCCCAUGUAACAGUGGUCGAAGGUAGGCUUGAUGAUUGGGGUGAAGUCGUAACAAGGUAGCCGUAUCGGAAGGUGCGGCUG